rnacentral:snoRNA from 1 species
UCGUCAGUGAGGUACAUCCUUACCUGUUCCCGCAUGCGCGGGGCAGUGCGUGAUGAUUGGAGGGCGCAUGAGACAUGAUUAGAGUCUCCGCCGCCGCGGUCCGCAACCCCGCGGCGCGCUCCUGUCUGAC